UACGAAGGGAGCUAGCGUUGCUCGGAAUCACUGGGCGUAAAGCGCACGUAGGCGGUUUGCUAAGUCAGGGGUGAAAUCCUGGAGCUCAACUCCAGAACUGCCUUGAUACUGGCGGACUUGAGUCCGGGAGAGGUGAGUGGAACUGCGAGUGUAGAGGUGAAAUUCGUAGAUAUUCGCAAGAACACCAGUGGCGAAGGCGGCUCACUGGCCCGGUACUGACGCUGACGGAGCGAAAG
rnacentral:rRNA from 1 species